rnacentral:tRNA from 1 species
GGGGCUGUAGCUCAGUUGGGAGAGCGCUUCAAUGGCAUUGAAGAGGUCGUCGGUUCAAGCCCGAUCAGCUCCACCA